AUUGAACGCUGGCGGCAGGCCUAACACAUGCAAGUCGAGCGAGCGGCGGACGGGUGAGUAAUGUAUGGGGACUGCCCGAUAGAGGGGGAUAACUACUGGAAACGGUAGCUAAUACCGCAUACUAUCGGAUAACCCAUAUGGGAUUAGCUAGUAGGUGUGGUAAUGGCUCACCUAGGCGACGAUCCCUAGCUGGUCUGAGAGGAUGAUCAGCGACACUGGAACUGAGAAACGGGCCAGACGCCUACGGAGGCAGCAGUGGGGAAUAUGGCACAAUGGGCGUAAGCCUGAUGCAUCCAGGCCGCGUGUAGGAAGAGGGCCCUAGGGUUGUAAAGUACUUUCGGGGGGGAGGCGUUACCCGCAGAAGAAGCACCGGCUAACUCCGUGCCAGCAGCCGCGGUAAGAC
rnacentral:rRNA from 1 species